GUGCAGCAGUCGCGAAUUCUCUCCAAUGUGUGAAAACAUGAGAGGGGUAUUCCAAGUUCCCUUGUUAUGCAAGGGAUUUUCUUUGGUCCAAGACGCCAAAGGAAUAAGAGCUGGGUAAGACCGGUGCCAGCCGCCGCGGUAACACCGGCAGCUCGAGUGGUGGCCACUAUUAUUGGGCCUAAAGCGUUCGUAGCCGGGGCAGGUAAGUGCUCUGGUAAAUCCCAUAACUUAAUUAUGGGGCGUUCAGAACAUACUGCCUGCCUUGAGACCGGGAGAGGCUGGAGGUACGUUUCGGGGUAGGGGUAAAAGUCCUAUAAU
rnacentral:rRNA from 1 species